rnacentral:rRNA from 1 species
CCUACGGGGGGCUGCAGUGGGGAAUAUUGGACAAUGGGGGGAACCCUGAUCCAGCCAUGCCGCGUGUGUGAAGAAGGCCCUCGGGUUGUAAAGCACUUUCAGUGAGGAAGAACGCCUGGUGGUUAAUACCCAUCAGGAAAGACAUCACUCACAGAAGAAGCACCGGCUAACUCCGUGCCAGCAGCCGCGGUAAUACGGAGGGUGCGAGCGUUAAUCGGAAUUACUGGGCGUAAAGCGCGCGUAGGUGGCUUGAUAAGCCGGUUGUGAAAGCCCCGGGCUCAACCUGGGAACGGCAUCCGGAACUGGCAAGCUAGAGUGCAGGAGAGGAAGGUAGAAUUCCCGGUGUAGCGGUGAAAUGCGUAGAGAUCGGGAGGAAUACCAGUGGCGAAGGCGGCCGUCUGGACUGACACUGACACUGAGGUGCGAAAGCGUGGGUAGCAAACAGGAUUAGAUACCCCAGUAGUC